rnacentral:sRNA from 1 species
AUGCCUCGAUAACCACGUCAAAACAAAAAUAGAAGCAAACAAGAAUGAAACGAAUGAUACGAUG